GACGAACGCUGGCGGCGUGCUUAACACAUGCAAGUCGAACGGAAAGGCCCUGCUUUUGUGGCGUGCUCGAGUGGCAAACGUAAGAGUAUCACGUGAGUAACCUGCCCUCGACUUUGGACUAACUUCAGGACACUGGGGCUAAUACCGCAUAGGAGCUCAUGCUCCCUGGUGGGGGUUGGCAAGUUUCGACGGUGGGGGAUGGGCGGGUGGCUAAUCAGCUUGUGGGUGGGGUCGUGUCUGACCAAGACUUUGACGGGUAGCCGGCCUGAGAGGGGGACCGGCAACAUUAGUACUGAGGUAAGGCGCAGAAGACUACGGGGGGAAGCAGUGGGGAGUAAUGCACAAUGGGGGGAAGACGGAUGAAGGAACGCUGCGUGCGGGAGGAAGGCCUUCGGGGGGUAAAGCGCUUUUGCCCGUGACGAAGAGGGAGUGACGGUAAUGGGUAAAGAAGCACCGGCUAACUACGUG
rnacentral:rRNA from 1 species